AACACCCGAAGCCGGUGGCCGUAACCCGCAAGGGAGGAGCCGUCGAAGGUGGGCCGUGAUUGGGGUG
rnacentral:rRNA from 1 species